rnacentral:rRNA from 1 species
UAAUACGAAGGGUGCAAGCGUUGCUCGGAAUUAUUGGGCGUAAAGGGUUGGUAGGUGGUCUUGUUUGUCUAAGGUGAAAUCCCAUGGCUUAACUGUGGAAGUGCCUUAGAAACGGCAAGACUAGAGUCCUAGAGGGGUUUGUGGAAUUCCCGGUGUAGCGGUGAAAUGCGUAGAGAUCGGGAGGAACACCAGCGGCGAAGGCGGCAAACUGGAUAGGCACUGACACUCAACAACGAAAGCGUGGGGAGCAAACAGGAUUAGAUACCCUGGUAGUCCACGCUGUAAACGAUGGGUACUAGGCUUUGUGGGAAUAGACCCCUGCAGAGCCGGAGCUAACGCAAUAAGUACCCCGCCUGGGAAGUACGGUCGCAAGACUA